rnacentral:lncRNA from 1 species
CACUGCAAAUCACAUUAAUAAAUAUUAUUAUUAUAAACUUAUAACCAUGGCAAGAUUCACACAAAUUACAUAAAAAAGACACACACAGACAGAAUAUAUAAAAAGCUACUACAUUUAUUUGGUUCUUUUAUAGAACACUAAUAGUAAAACUUAAAGGCCAUGGCACACCCUCCCUUCUUCCAUUCAAUCUUCACGGUUGCUUGUUGUUGCAGCACUCUGAAGGUCACGAAGCUCUUUCUCUCGCACCCUCUUCUGUUCAUUCAGUUGUGCAAUCUUGUCAUCAUUUUCACGUGGCUGUGGUACAGAUACUCCAUUCACAGUUUUGUAAAACUGUGGACUCCUACUCUCAUAAUGAGCUAUCUUUCUCUCUAAUUUUUUUACUGCCUUUUUGACUCCUCCAAUUGCAAACUUAGAGUUCUUCUCACCACUCAUGUUUCCUUGUUCAGAAAAUGCGUUUGUUUUACUACUAUUGAGA